CGUCCAGACUCCUACGGGAGGCAGCAGUGAGGAAUAUUGGUCAAUGGGCGGGAGCCUGAACCAGCCAAGUCGCGUGAGGGAAGACGGUCCUAUGGAUUGUAAACCUCUUUAGGCGGGGAGCAAUGCCGGGCACGUGUGCCCGGAGGGAGAGUACCCGCAGAAUAAGCAUCGGCUAACUACGUGCCAGCAGCCGCGGUAAUACGUAGGUGGCAAGCGUUGUCCGGAUUUACUGGGUGUAAAGGGCGUGCAGCCGGAGAGACAAGUCAGAUGUGAAAUCCACGGGCUCAACCCGUGAACUGCAUUUGAAACUGUUUCCCUUGAGUGUCGGAGAGGUAAUCGGAAUUCCUUGUGUAGCGGUGAAAUGCGUAGAUAUAAGGAAGAACACCAGUGGCGAAGGCGGAUUACUGGACGAUAACUGACGGUGAGGCGCGAAAGCGUGGGGAGCAAACAGGAUUAGAUACCCUCGUA
rnacentral:rRNA from 1 species